UGGGGAAUUUUGGACAAUGGGAGCAACCCUGAUCCAGCAAUGCCGCGUGAGUGAAGAAGGCCUUCGGGUUGUAAAGCUCUUUUGUCAGGGAAGAAACGGUAGUAGCUAAUAUCUAUUACUAAUGACGGUACCUGAAGAAUAAGCACCGGCUAACUACGUG
rnacentral:rRNA from 1 species